AGAAACACUAUAUAUGAC
rnacentral:sRNA from 1 species